UACAGAGGUCCCAAGCGUUGUUCGGAUUCACUGGGCGUAAAGGGUGCGUAGGUGGUUGGGUAAGUCUGAUGUGAAAUCUCCGGGCUCAACCCGGAAAUGGCAUUGGAUACUAUCCAGCUCGAGGAUCGGAGGGGGGGACUGGAAUUCUUGGUGUAGCAGUGAAAUGCGUAGAUAUCAAGAGGAACACCAGUGGCGAAGGCGAGUCCCUGGACGAUUCCUGACACUGAGGCACGAAAGCUAGGGGAGCAAACAGG
rnacentral:rRNA from 1 species